CAUGAAGGGAAAUCUGCAGCUU
rnacentral:siRNA from 1 species